UCGACCGAGAAAGUGCGCAUCGCGACUGGGAAACGAGAAUUACGCAUUUUGGAACUCGGAAGACCGAUUCCCGACCCUUGCUUCGAAUGCAGGUUCGACGGACACGGAACGAAGUUGAAGCUCUACACUGCGGUGACCCUUUUACUAUUAUUUUCGAUUAAAGAUUCGUUUGAACCGUACAAUCACCGAUUAUAAAAAUCCAUAAAAUGAGUUCUCGGUACUUUCAUUUCCUCUUUUUGGGCAUGGUGCAGGGACUGCGGCAACGAUUCGGCGUCCGGAAGAGAGAAGGGCGGGCAGGAGCCGUCGAGGUAUCGCUUCCCCCGUUAUCGACCCGGUCACGUGGCAGUGACGUAAUUGGUAGCGGGGUCAUGUGAUCCAUCGGAGCCACCCACGCACCAGGUAUACCGGGUCGACGAUAUGCCAUCGAGGUAAUCUCUGAGCGUUCCAGGUGAAAGGUUAUGGCAGAGAGAAACGGAGAGUGGCCAUGCUCCAGGUCUCGCGUCGCCGAGUCGCUGUCGCCCGAUGGCCCUCCAUGGAAAUUCUUCCACACAUGGCGCGUAUCUUUUCGCUUUUUACACGAAUUCGUUACUCGAUGUCUCGAUGUUCUCGCGAAUCGUGCGGAUUGAAUGUACUCUGGUUAUAGACGCAAGCAGGGACGUCACCCUGAGGCAGGGGUUGCGGUUUAAAUUUGGGAAGAUAGAGAGGCGUAGGUGUGCUCUUGUCAAAAUACCUCCCGCGCCAUCGACCGAAAAUGCCUCGAUGCACGACCUCGAUUUUUUUUCGAGAAGUACCCUGGAAUUCGAUCUUUGUCGACGCGCACCUUUUCAAACUGGAUUUACGUUAACGCAUCGCGUCGAUCCUGCAUCUGUACUGCCGACGUACCUACCUGGAUUUUUUUGCAUGCACGUGUCCGAGUACUUCUCUUUGCGCGAAGGCACGGAGUCGCACCGAUAACGCAAUUGCGAAAAGGGGACAGAAGUGCAGCGGCAUAAAUGGGCGAGCACUAUGAACGAAGCGAGACAAUGCAAUCUAGGCUAAAGAUACCGACAAAACUCUUAUAUGCCUCCAAUAUCUUUAGAAAGUGUGACGCCCAUCCAACGACCGUACGUUUACACAAUCGUAGAGAAUUUGCGUCGAUCUCGUGGAUGAAUUGAAAAAAAAAGGAAUCUCGCUAUCUCGAAGAGGAUCGACGUGCCGGUCGAAACCGAAAGGGUGGCAUCAAUGAUCGCUUCGAGGAAAGUUUGCGAAAUCUCAGAAAUUUCUGAGACCUUAUCGAGAGAACGAAGAAUGCAUCGUCUCGUGCACGUACGGGUAUUAUCCCUGUUACAAAGGGACUUUUUUCCAACAAGACGUACAUAUAUACGUGGACAAGGGAUUCUUACAAGAGCAGUUCUCACUCUACACGUUGAAGUUACGUUGCAUUACGUGGAACCAUGCUUUGUCAGGGCACUGGGAUUUUUUUGAUACUUCUGCUCGUGAUUCUUGCAUCGAGACCCGUUCGACCGAUUUUUGAUUUGGACGAUUCGAGUUCUUCGGACUCCUGGGAAGUAGACUACGAGGAUACCGUCCGGAAGUUAGACAUAUUUAGAGGCCCUCUUCAUACUCUGUUUUGUGACACAUUCUGCACCCAGAGAGCCUUCAAUUUGGUGUGCCGAUGGAAAUGUCCUACGACCACUACUACUAUCGCUGCUACCACUACUACUGUUGCUGCUACCACUACGACUAGCACUACUACCAGUACGUCUACUGCGAAACCUGACCAAAGACCCGAAAGCUCCACCGAGAGCGGUACCAACGGCUAAUAGUGAAAUUCUAGAAAAUUAAUUAGCUGGAUAUAGAGAGGUACUAACAUACCCGGAACGCUCUGUGCGGUGGAGACAUCUGGCUACCUACGUAAUUCUAAGAUAUAAAAUGGACAAAAUAGUACAAAUUAGAUAAUGUGGAAGUUUCGUUUAGAGAAUGUAUUGGAAUAACUAAAAUUUACGUGCUAAGCUCAUGUAAACUUUGUAAAAUCACAAUUACUAGGAAAUAGAAAGUCUGACUUUAUGGCACAACCGAA